rnacentral:rRNA from 1 species
UACAGAGGUCCCAAGCGUUGUUCGGAUUCACUGGGCGUAAAGGGUGCGUAGGUGGUGAGGUAAGUUUGAUGUGAAAUCUCCGGGCUCAACCCGGAAAUGGCAUUGAAUACUAUCUUGCUAGAGGAGUGGAGGGGGGACUGGAAUACUUGAUGUAGCAGUGAAAUGCGUAGAUAUCAAGUGGAACACCAGUGGCGAAGGCGAGUCCCUGGACACUUCCUGACACUGAGGCACGAAAGCUAGGGGAGCAAACAGG